rnacentral:rRNA from 1 species
CUGCUGCCUUCCGUAGGAGUCUGGGCCGUGUCUCAGUCCCAAUGUGGCCGGCCAACCUCUCAGUCCGGCUACUGAUCGUCGCCUUGGUGGGCCGUUACCCCGCCAACCAGCUAAUCAGACGCGAGCUCAUCUCAGAGCGAUAAAUCUUUGGCGUCCAGAGAGAUGCCUCCCAGACGCGUCAUGCGGUAUUAGCGGCUGUUUCCAGCCGUUAUUCCCCACUCCAAGGCAGAUUGCU